rnacentral:rRNA from 1 species
GAAACUUAAAUGAAUUGACGGGGCCCGCACAAGCAGUGGAUUAUGUGGUUUAAUUCGAAGCAACGCGAAGAACCUUACCAGGGCUUGACAUCCAACUAACGAAGCAGAGAUGCAUUAGGUGCCCUUCGGGGAAAGUUGAGACAGGUGGUGCAUGGUUGUCGUCAGCUCGUGUCGUGAGAUGUUGGGUUAAGUCCCGCAACGAGCGCAACCCUUAUUGUUAGUUGCUACGAAAGAGCACUCUAGCGAGACUGCCGUUGACAAAACGGAGGAAGGUGGGGACGACGUCAAAUCAUCAUGCCCCUUAUGUCCUGGGCUACACACGUAAUACAAUGGCGCUUAACAGAGGGAGGCGAAGCCGCGAGGUGGAGCGAAUCCCCAAAAAGCGUCUCAGUUCAGAUUGCAGGCUGCAACUCGCCUGUAUGAAGUCGGAAUUGCUAGUAAUCGCGGACCAGCAUGCCGCGGUGAAUACGUUCCCGGGCCUU